GAACCGUGCGAACGUUGUUCGGAAUCACUGGGCUUAAAGGGCGCGUAGGCGGGCUGCCAAGUCCGGGGUGAAAUCUUUCGGCUCAACCGGAAAAGUGCCUUGGAUACUGGCGGUCUGGAGGGAGGUAGGGGCAUGUGGAACUUCCGGUGGAGCGGUGAAAUGCGUUGAUAUCGGAAGGAACGCCGGUGGCGAAAGCGACGUGCUGGACCUCUUCUGACGCUGAGUGCGCGAAAGCUAGGGGAGCGAACGGGAUUAGAUACCCCGGUAGUCCUAGCCCUAAACGAUGGGUACUAGGUAGUGGACUUAACAUGGGUUCACUGCCGAAGCAAAAGUGUUAAGUACCCCGCCUGGGGAGUAUGGUCGCAAGGCUGAA
rnacentral:rRNA from 1 species